UACGGAGGGGGCUAGCGUUGUUCGGAAUUACUGGGCGUAAAGCGCACGUAGGCGGCUUUGUAAGUUAGAGGUGAAAGCCUGGAGCUCAACUCCAGAAUUGCCUUUGAUACUGCAUCGCUUGAAUCCAGGAGAGGUGAGUGGAAUUCCGAGUGUAGAGGUGAAAUUCGUAGAUAUUCGGAAGAACACCAGUGGCGAAGGCGGCUCACUGGAGCUGGUAUUGACGCUGAGGUGCGAAAGCGUGGGGGAGCAAACAGG
rnacentral:rRNA from 1 species